rnacentral:rRNA from 1 species
AUUGAACGCUGGCGGCAGGCCUAACACAUGCAAGUCGAACGGUAACAGGAAACUGCUUUCUGUUUCGCUGACGAGUGGCGGACGGGUGAGUAAUGUCUGGGAAACUGCCUGCUGGAGGGGGAUAACUACUGGACACGGUCGCUAAUACCGCAUAACGUCGCCAGACCAAAGAGGGGGCCCUUCGGGCCUCUUGCCAUCGGAUGUGCCCAGAUGGGAUUAGCUAGUAGGUGGGGUAACGGCUCACCUAGGCGACGAUCCCUAGCUGGUCUGAGAGGAUGACCAGCCACACUGGAAGUGAGACACGGUCCAGACUCCGACGGGAGGCAGCAGUGGGGAAUAUUGCACAGUAGGCGCAAGCCUGAUGCAGCCAUGCCGCGUGUAUGAAGAAGGCAUUCGGGUUGGAAAGUACUAGCAGCGGGGAUGAAGGGAGUAAAGUUAAUACCUUUGAUAAUUGACGUUACCCGCAGAAGAAGCACCGGCUAACUCCGUG